UACAGAGGGUGCAAGCGUUAAUCGGAAUUACUGGGCGUAAAGCGUGCGUAGGCGGUUUGAUAAGUUGGGUGUGAAAUCCCCGGGCUUAACCUGGGAACUGCACUCAAGACUGUCUGACUAGAGUCUGGGAGAGGGUGGUGGAAUUUCCUGUGUAGCGGUGAAAUGCGUAGAUAUAGGAAGGAACAUCAGUGGCGAAGGCGACUGCCUGGCCCAAGACUGACGCUGAGGUACGAAAGCGUGGGGAGCAAACAGG
rnacentral:rRNA from 1 species